rnacentral:rRNA from 1 species
GCAUAUCAAUAAGCGGAGGAAAAGAAACUAACAAGGAUUCCCUUAGUAGCGGCGAGCGAAGCGGGAAGAGCUCAAAUUUGUAAUCUGGCGUCUUUCAGGCGUCCGAGUUGUAAUCUAUAGAAGUGUUUUCUAUGUCGGACCGUGUCUAAGUCUCUUGGAAUAGAGUAUCAAAGAGGGUGACAAUCCCGUACUUGACAUGACUACCGAUGUUCUGUGAUACAUUUUCUACGAGUCGAGUUGUUUGGGAAUGCAGCUCUAAAUGGGUGGUAAAUUCCAUCUAAAGCUAAAUAUUGGUGAGAGACCGAUAGCGAACAAGUACCGUGAGGGAAAGAUGAAAAGCACUUUGGAAAGAGAGUUAAACAGUACGUGAAAUUGUUGAAAGGGAAACGAUUGAAGUCAGUCAUGUCUGUUGGUUUCAGCUUGCUCUGCAAGUGUAUUACCUUCAGACGGGUCAACAUCAGUUUUGGUGCGGUGGAUAAGAACGGAUUGAAGGUGGCACCCUCGGGUGUGUUAUAGCUUUCUGUUGCAUACGCUGCCUGAGACUGAGGACUGCAGCUCGCGCUCACGCGCCGCCCCUCGGGGACGUUCGAGCUUAGGAUGUUGGCAUAAUGGCUUUAAACGACCCGUCUUGAAACACGGACC